rnacentral:rRNA from 1 species
GACGAACGCUGGCAGCGUGCUUAACACAUGCAAGUCGAACGCUGAAGCCCUUCGGGGUGGAUGAGUGGCGAACGGGUGAGUAACACGUGGGCAAUUUGCCCUGCACUCUGGGAUAAGCCUUGGAAACGGGGUCUAAUACCGGAUAGGACACAUCGCCGCAUGGUGGGUGUGUGGAAAGUUCCGGCGGUGCAGGUUGAGCCCGCGGCCUAUCAGCUUGUUGGUGGGGUGAUGGCCUACCAAGGCGACGACGGGUAGCCGGCCUGAGAGGGUGACCGGCCACACUGGGACUGAGACACGGCCCAGACUCCUACGGGAGGCAGCAGUGGGGAAUCUUGCGCAAUGGGCGAAAGCCUGACGCAGCAACGCCGCGUGGGGGACGACGGCCUUCGGGUUGUAAACCUCUUUCGACCGGGACGAAGGAUUCGUUUGACGGUACCGGUAGAAGAAGCACCGGCUAACUACGUGCCAGCAGCCGCAGUAACAC